UCGAGCGGGACAUACGACGGAACCAAAGUUUCGGAUGGAGGUGAAGAUGUAUGUCUAGCGGCGACGGGUGAGUAACGCGUGAGCAACCUGUCCCUCACAGGGGGAUAACACAGCGAAAGUUGUACUAAUACCGCAUAAGACCACGGUAAGACAUCUUACAGGGGUCAAAGGAGCAAUCCGGUGAGGGGUGGGCUCGCGUCCGAUUAGAUAGUUGGUGAGGUAACGGCCCACCAAGUCGACGAUCGGUAGCCGACCUGAGAGGGUGAUCGGCCACAUUGGGACUGAGACACGGCCCAAACUCCUACGGGAGGCAGCAGUGGGGAAUAUUGGGCAAUGGGGGGAACCCUGACCCAGCAACGCCGCGUGAGGGAAGAAGGUUUUCGGAUCGUAAACCUCUGUCCUUGGUGAAGAGUAAGAGACGGUAGCCAAGGAGGAAGCCCCGGCUAACUACGUGCCAGCAGCCGC
rnacentral:rRNA from 1 species